UACGUAGGGGGCAAGCGUUGUCCGGAUUUAUUGGGCGUAAAGAGCGUGUAGGCGGCCAGACAGGUCAGCUGUGAAAACUCGAGGCUCAACCUCGAGACGUCGGUUGAAACCGUCUGGCUAGAGUCCGGAAGAGGAGAGUGGAAAUUCCCGGGUGUAGCGGUGAAAUGCGCAGAUAAUCGGGAGGAACACCGGUGGCGAAGGCGGCGAUCCUGGAC
rnacentral:rRNA from 1 species